UUACCGCACUCCAGUGAGAAUGCCCUCCUAAUCCCUCCGAUUAAAAGGAGCAGGUAUCAAGCACAUCAACAGAUAGCUCACCACACCUUGCUAAACCACACCCCCACGGGACACAGCAGUGAUUAAAUUUAAGCAAUAAACGAAAGUUUGACUAAGCUAUACUGAUAUAUAGGGUUGGUAAAUCUCGUGCCAGCCACCGCGGUCAUACGAUUAACCCAAACUAAUAUAAACCCGGCGUAAAGUGUGUUUAAAACUCACAUAAANUAAAGUUAAAUUUUAUCUAAGCUGUAAAACGCCCCAGCUAAAAUAAAACUAAUCUACGAAAGUGACUUUAAUAUCCUGAAAACACGACAACUAAGACCCAAACUGGGAUUAGAUACCCCACUAUGCUUAGCCGUAAACCCAAGUAAUUAAUGAACAAAAUUACUCGCCAGAGCACUACAAGCAAUAGCUUAAAACUCAAAGGACUUGGCGGUGCUUUAUAUCCCUCUAGAGGAGCCUGUUCUAUAAUCGAUAAACCCCGAUAAACCUCACCACUCCUUGCUAAUUCAACCUAUAUACCGCCAUCCUCAGCAAACCUUGUUAAGGCCUAAAAGUAAGCAAAAACACAGNACAUAAAAACGUUAGGUCAAGGUGUAGUCUAUGGAGUGGGAAGAAAUGGGCUACAUUUUCUAACACAGAACAAUUUCCCAACAGCAGCCUUUAUGAAAUUAAAAGCUAAAGGAGGAUUUAGCAGUAAAUUAAGAAUAGAGAGCUUAGUUGAAUAGGGCCAUGAAGCACGCACACACCGCC
rnacentral:rRNA from 1 species